UACAGAGGUCCCAAGCGUUGUUCGGAUUCAUUGGGCGUAAAGGGUGCGUAGGCGGCGCGGUAAGUCGGGUGUGAAAUCUCGGGGCUUAACUCCGAAACUGCAUUCGAUACUGCCGUGCUUGAGGACUGGAGAGGAGACUGGAAUUUACGGUGUAGCGGUGAAAUGCGUAGAUAUCGUAAGGAACACCAGUGGCGAAGGCGGGUCUCUGGACAGUUCCUGACGCUGAGGCACGAAGGUCAGGGGAGCAAACGGG
rnacentral:rRNA from 1 species